AUUGAACGCUGGCGGCAUGCCUUACACAUGCAAGUCGAACGGUAACAGGUCUUCGGACGCUGACGAGUGGCGAACGGGUGAGUAAUACAUCGGAACGUGCCCAGUCGUGGGGGAUAACUACUCGAAAGAGUAGCUAAUACCGCAUACGAUCUGAGGAUGAAAGCGGGGGACCUUCGGGCCUCGCGCGAUUGGAGCGGCCGAUGGCAGAUUAGGUAGUUGGUGGGAUAAAAGCUUACCAAGCCGACGAUCUGUAGCUGGUCUGAGAGGACGACCAGCCACACUGGGACUGAGACACGGCCCAGACUCCUACGGGAGGCAGCAGUGGGGAAUUUUGGACAAUGGGCGAAAGCCUGAUCCAGCAAUGCCGCGUGCAGGAUGAAGGCCUUCGGGUUGUAAACUGCUUUUGUACGGAACGAAAAAGUCUCCUCUAAUACAGGAGGCCCAUGACAGUACCUGAAGAAUAAGCACCGGCUAACUACGUGCCAGCAGCCGCCGUAA
rnacentral:rRNA from 1 species